UUGCCAGCCGCCGCGGUUAAACGAGAGGCCCUAGUUGAUAAAACCACGGCGUAAAGGGUGGUUAAGGAAAGCAAAACAAAUUAAAGCCAAAUGGCCCUUUGGCCGUCAUACGCUUCUAGGUGUCCGAAGCCCAAUUAUACGAAAGUAGCUUUAUUAAAGCCCACCUGACCCCACGAAAGCUGAGAAACAAACUGGGAUUAGAUACCCCACUAUGCUCAGCCAUAAACCUAGACAUCCAACUACAAUUAGACGUCCGCCCGGGUACUACGAGCAUUAGCUUGAAACCCAAAGGACUUGGCGG
rnacentral:rRNA from 1 species